ACAUCUGUUCAUGGUGAUAGGCUACAUCACGUAGCAUGCCAGACGGACCCACCAAAGAUGCGCACACAUGGAACGCAGCUUUCUAUGAAAACACUGCGACCUCACUACAAAAGUACAGGCACACAGAAAACUGUGCUGCACUGAUGUCGGUGUUGGGACCUCAGCUGUAAGAGACCACGCUUGGAGGAGGGAGAGGACAAGAUGUGACAAUGGAAUCUUCCAACCCUGUUCAUAAGACACCCACAUAUAUUGUCUAUGAAAACUGCCUCCUGGAGCUGUUUGAGGUGUGUCCUGUGUGUCGGCUGGGGACAGAUGUAAUAUAUAAGAAGGGCGAGUGCACAGCAAAGCCGGUGAAAGCAGAUGCAAUCUUCCAUGAUUCUUACAGGCUCUAUUUAAAAGCCAAACAAUGUACAAACAGUAUGUGAAACAUAAAUAUCACAUCAAUUAACUGCUGUCUUUAAAUGGUCUUCACGAUUUAAAGACCAUUUAUUUAUCGUCUUCACGAUAAAUAGAAUAAUAUAAUUAUAAAAAGAAAAUAAAAAAUAC